rnacentral:rRNA from 1 species
AGCGAACGCUGGCGGCGUGCCUAACACAUGCAAGUCGAACGUGAACAUGUAGCAAUACAUAAGUAAAGUGGCGCACGGGUGAGUAACACGUGGAUAAUCUACCUUAAAGUUUGGAAUAACCGGCCGAAAGGCUGGCUAAUACUGGAUAGAUCAAGCGAAGUAUAAUGCUUCGAUUGGAAAAGGGAGCUCGAUAAGAGCCUUCGCUUUAAGAUGAGUCUGCGUCCCAUUAGCUAGUUGGUAGGGUAAGAGCCUACCAAGGCGAUGAUGGGUAGCUGGUCUGAGAGGAUGAUCAGCCACACUGGAACUGAAACACGGUCCAGACUCCUACGGGAGGCAGCAGUGGGGAAUUUUGCGCAAUGGACGAAAGUCUGACGCAGCCACGCCGCGUGAGUGAAGAAGGCC